GGGAAGUUGGUUCAGUGGUAGAAUGCUUGCCUCACAUGCAUGAGGUCCUGGGUUCGAUUCCUCAGCAUCACA
rfam:Dipodomys ordii contig_52111, whole genome shotgun sequence.